AAUGAACGUUGGCGGCGUGGAUUGGGCAUGCAAGUCGUACGUGUACCCGCAAGGGGAAAGUGGCGAAAGGGAGAGGAAUACGUGGGUUACCAACCUUCUGGUCGGGGAUAGCGGCGGGAAACUGCCAUUAAUACCCGAUAAUGUCUGCGGACCAAAGGUGUGAUUCCGCCGGAAGACGGGCCCGCGUCCUAUUAGCUAGUUGGUAGGGUAAUGGCCUACCAAGGCAAUGAUGGGUAUGGGGCGUGAGAGCGUGCCCCCACUCACUGGGACUGAGACACUGCCCAGACACCUACGGGUGGCUGCAGUCGAGGAUCUUCGGCAAUGGGCGCAAGCCUGACCGAGCGACGCCGCGUGUGGGAUGAAGGCCUUCGGGUUGUAAACCGCUGUCGUAGGGGAGGAAGGCCGUGUGCAGGGCACGGUUUGACCGAUCCUAGGAGGAAGUCCAGGCUAACCUCGUGCCAGCCGCCGCGGUAAAAC
rnacentral:rRNA from 1 species